rnacentral:rRNA from 1 species
GACGAACGCUGGCGGCGUGCUUAACACAUGCAAGUCGAACGGAAAGGCCCUGCUUUUGUGGGGUGCUCGAGUGGCGAACGGGUGAGUAACACGUGAGUAACCUGCCCUUGACUUUGGGAUAACUUCAGGAAACUGGGGCUAAUACCAGAUAGGAGCUCCUGCUGCAUGGUGGGGGUUGGAAAGUUUCGGCGGUUGGGGAUGGACUCGCGGCUUAUCAGCUUGUUGGUGGGGUAGUGGCUUACCAAGGCUUUGACGGGUAGCCGGCCUGAGAGGGUGACCGGCCACAUUGGGACUGAGAUACGGCCCAGACUCCUACGGGAGGCAGCAGUGGGGAAUAUUGCACAAUGGGCGGAAGCCUGAUGCAGCAACGCCGCGUGCGGGAUGACGGCCUUCGGGUUGUAAACCGCUUUCGCCUGUGACGAAGCGUGAGUGACGGUAAUGGGUAAAGAAGCACCGGCUAACUACGUGCCAGCAGCCGCGGUGAUACGUAGGGUGCGAGCGUUGUCCGGAUUUAUUGGGCGUAAAGGGCUCGUAGGUGGUUGAUCGCGUCGGAAGUGUAAUCUUGGGGCUUAACCCUGAGCGUGCUUUCGAUACGGGUUGACUUGAGGAAGGUAGGGGAGAAUGGAAUUCCUGGUGGAGCGGUGGAAUGCGCAGAUAUCAGGAGGAACACCAGUGGCGAAGGCGGUUCUCUGGGCCUUUCCUGACGCUGAGGAGCGAAAGCGUGGGGAGCGAACAGGCUUAGAUACCCUGGUAGUCCACGCUGUAAACGGUGGGUACUAGGUGUGGGGUCCAUUCCACGGGUUCCGUGCCGUAGCUAACGCUUUAAGUACCCCGCCUGGGGAGUACGGCCGCAAGGCUAAAACUCAAAGGAAUUGACGGGGCCCCGCACAAGCGGCGGAGCAUGCGGAUUAAUUCGAUGCAACGCGUAGAACCUUACCUGGGUUUGACAUGGAUCGGGAGUGCUCAGAGAUGGGUGUGCCUCUUUUGGGGUCGGUUCACAGGUGGUGCAUGGCUGUCGUCAGCUCGUGUCGUGAGAUGUUGGGUUAAGUCCCGCAACGAGCGCAACCCUUGUUCACUGUUGCCAGCACGUUAUGGUGGGGACUCAGUGGAGACCGCCGGGGUCAACUCGGAGGAAGGUGGGGAUGACGUCAAGUCAUCAUGCCCCUUAUGUCCAGGGCUUCACGCAUGCUACAAUGGCUGGUACAGAGAGUGGCGAGCCUGUGAGGGUGAGCGAAUCUCGGAAAGCCGGUCUCAGUUCGGAUUGGGGUCUGCAACUCGACCUCAUGAAGUCGGAGUCGCUAGUAAUCGCAGAUCAGCAACGCUGCGGUGAAUACGUUCCCGGG